rnacentral:rRNA from 1 species
GACGAACGCUGGNGGUGCGCCUAACACAUGCAAGUCGAACGGUGAACCGGGCUUCGGCCCGGGGAUCAGUGGCGAACGGGUGCGUAACACGUGGGGCAAACCUGCCCCCGACCCGUACCGGUAGGGAAACCCGGUAAAACCCCCGGGGAAACGGACGUAACUUAAACCGGUAACCGGUAACUUACCUUCCCUUCCCUUCGUACCG